GACGAACGCUGGCGGCGUGCUUAACACAUGCAAGUCGAACGGAAAGGCCCUGCUUUUGUGGGGUGCUCGAGUGGCGAACGGGUGAGUAACACGUGAGUAACCUGCCCUUGACUUUGGGAUAACUUCAGGAAACUGGGGCUAAUACCGGAUAGGAGCUCCUGCUGCAUGGUGGGGGUUGGAAAGUUUCGGCGGUUGGGGAUGGACUCGCGGCUUAUCAGCUUGUUGGUGGGGUAGUGGCUUACCAAGGCUUUGACGGGUAGCCGGCCUGAGAGGGUGACCGGCCACAUUGGGACUGAGAUACGGCCCAGACUCCUACGGGAGGCAGCAGGGGGGAAUAUGGCACAAUGGGCGGAAGCCUGAUGCAGCAACGCCGCGUGCGGGAGGACGGCCUUCGGGUUGUAAACCGCUUUCGCCUGUGACGAAGCGUGAGUGACGGUAAUGGGUAAAGAAGCACCGGCGAACUACGU
rnacentral:rRNA from 1 species